GUGCAGCAGGCGCGAAACCUCCGCAAUACACGAAAGUGUGACGGGGCCAUCCCGAGUGCCGUCCGCUGAGGACGGCUUUUCCCCAGUGUACACAGCUGGGGGAAUAAGGAGAGGGCAAGCCUGGUGUCAGCCGCCGCGGUAAUACCAGCUCUCCGAGUGGUGGGGACGCUUAUUGGGCCUAAAGCAUCCGUAGCCGGCUGGGCAAGUCCUCCGUUAAAUCCAACGAUUCAAUCGUUGGGCUGCGGGGGAUACUGUCCUGCUUGGGGGCGGGAGAGGCCGACGGUAUUCCCGGGGUAGGGGUGAAAUCCUAUAAUCCCGGGAGGACCACCAGUGGCGAAGGCUGUCGGCUAGAACGCGCCCGACGGUGAGGGAUGAAAGCUGGGGGAGCGAACCGGAUUAGAUACCCCGGUAGU
rnacentral:rRNA from 1 species